rnacentral:rRNA from 1 species
AUUGAACGCUGGCGGCAGGCUUAACACAUGCAAGUCGAGCGGGGGAAGGUAGCUUGCUACCGGACCUAGCGGCGGACGGGUGAGUAAUGCUUAGGAAUCUGCCUAUUAGUGGGGGACAACAUCUCGAAAGGGAUGCUAAUACCGCAUACGUCCUACGGGAGAAAGCAGGGGAUCUUCGGACCUUGCGCUAAUAGAUGAGCCUAAGUCGGAUUAGCUAGUUGGUGGGGUAAAGGCCUACCAAGGCGACGAUCUGUAGCGGGUCUGAGAGGAUGAGCCGCCACACUGGGACUGCGACACGGACCAGACUCCUACGGGAGGCAGCAGUGGGGAAUAUUGGACAAUGGGGGGAACCCUGCGCCAGCCAUGCCGCGGGUGUGAAGAAGGCCUUAUGGUUGUAAAGCACUUUAAGCGAGGAGGAGGCUACUUUAGUUAGUACCUAGAGAUAGUGGACGUUACUCGCAGAAUAAGCACCGGCUAACUCUGUACCAGCAGCCGCGGUAA